UACGGGGGGGGCAAGCGUUGUUCGGAAUUACUGGGCGUAAAGGGCUCGUAGGCGGCCAACUAAGUCAGACGUGAAAUCCCUCGGCUUAACCGGGGAACUGCGUCUGAUACUGGAUGGCUUGAGGUUGGGAGAGGGAUGCGGAAUUCCAGGUGUAGCGGUGAAAUGCGUAGAUAUCAGGAGGAACACCUGUGGCGAAAGCGGCUCACUGGACCAUAACUGACGCUGAGGAGCGAAAGCGUGGGGAGCGAACAGG
rnacentral:rRNA from 1 species